UGGCUCAGGACGAACGCUGGCGGCGUGCUUAACACAUGCAAGUCGAACGAUGAACCACUUCGGUGGGGAUUAGUGGCGAACGGGUGAGUAACACGUGGGCAAUCUGCCCUUCACUCUGGGACAAGCCCUGGAAACGGGGUCUAAUACCGGAUACUGACCGGCCUGGGCAUCCAGGCGGGUCGAAAGCUCCGGCGGUGAAGGAUGAGCCCGCGGCCUAUCAGCUUGUUGGUGAGGUAAUGGCUCACCAAGGCGACGACGGGUAGCCGGCCUGAGAGGGCGACCGGCCACACUGGGACUGAGACACGGCCCAGACUCCUACGGGAGGCAGCAGUGGGGAAUAUUGCACAAUGGGCGAAAGCCUGAUGCAGCGACGCCGCGUGAGGGAUGACGGCCUUCGGGUUGUAAACCUCUUUCAGCAGGGAAGAAGCGA
rnacentral:rRNA from 1 species